rnacentral:pre_miRNA from 1 species
UCACCUCCGCAGGCUGGCCGGCCCCAGGCUGGGCUGGGCAAGUAUCUCUUCCAAAGGCUUACGCACAAGCACGACUAGGAGC